rnacentral:rRNA from 1 species
GACGAACGCUGGCGGCGUGCCUAACACAUGCAAGUCGAACGGAAGUAAGUGCUUCGGUAUUUACUUUAGUGGCGAACGGGUGAGUAACGCGUGAGCAACCUGCCUCAAACAGGGGGAUAACGCAUCGAAAGAUGUGCUAAUACCGCGUAAGACCACAGUGCCACAUGGCACAGGGGUCAAAGGAGCAAUCCGGUUUGAGAUGGGCUCGCGUCCGAUUAGCUAGUUGGUGAGAUAACGGCCCACCAAGGCGACGAUCGGUAGCCGACCUGAGAGGGUGAUCGGCCACAUUGGAACUGAGAAACGGUCCAG